AACACAAUAUUGCAUAAAUACAUCAGGAGUGGCAAAAGCAGAGAUUUCUGAAGCACGAUCUGUCAGGGGUACCUGCCAAUAUCUUUUUAGCAGAUCUAAUUUGGUCACAAACUUUGCAUUCGCUACUUGAUCGACACAAUCUUCCAUGUGCGGAAGUGGAAAAGAAUCAGCUUUUGUUAAAGACUUGACCUUACGAUAAUCAGUACAGAAUCUGGAAGAUCCGUCUGGCUUAGGGAUGAGUAGACAUGAAGAACACCAUGGACCAGCACUAGGAAUAGCUAGAUUGUGCUCUAACAGGGCCUGAGCACUAGGGGCGAAGGACUGGUUUUUGGUGGUGGUAUUUCCUCACAAGUGUGCAGUGACCAUCUCACUGUGUGUACUCAGUGAAGUACAGUGAUUUACCUAUGAGUAUGGUCUGAUUAUCUGCUUUCCUAUGCUGGUUGGGAUAGUGACCUCUCUUCCAUAAGAAUUCUGUUGCAUCUGAUCCCACCUUCUGCCCAAGGCCAGAAAAAGUGGAACAAACAUUGAGGAGCAUUUUCGAGAAAUCACAGCUAUUGCUCAGCCCUAUCUCCUGGCCGUGGGACCCCAGAAGAAUUCCGUUCACCAGUACAGCUGCACACAGGAAGCAAGCUGCACACAGGAAGCAAGCUGCACACAGGAAGCAAGCUGCACACAGGAAGCAAGCUGCACACAGGAAGCAAGCUGCACACAGGAAGCAAGCUGCACACAGGA